AACAAUUCAUCGUUGUUUUGAAUAAGAAAUGAAUCCAUAAUGGUGAAUUCUUUCGGACCAAAUUAAUAUUAACCUGAGGGUUUGGAAUAAAUGGACGUAAUGGUUGCCGUACCCAGCUUAUAUCCCUGACCAACUAUUGAAGAUUGCGAAAUGCCACAACAUAUUUAAGAAAUCCAAACAGCGAAUAUAGGCGGACAGACAAUAUCUCACAUUACAUUUGUGGCCUUAUUUCGGAUAGUGUGAGUUUGUUUUUCAAAAUUUUGCUUUAAACAGAUACUGGAAAAGCAAUUCAAAAUGGUGAAAUCUUCCGGUCUUAGAUUAGUGUUUAUCGAUGAGUUUGGAAUGAAUGGACGUAAUGGGUGACGUAUCCAGCGUAUAUCACUGACGAGCUAUUGAAGAUAGUAAAAUGCCAAAACAUAUGAAGACCCCAGGGGAAAAACGACAUUUUGAUCGAAAAUGGGAUGAUGACGGUUUCCUAUAGAUUGAAGGUUGGCGAAUAAGAUGGUGAUCUCAAAACAGGGGAAAAGUGAGUUAAAAUGGUCGAAAUAAGCGUUUGAAAAAGAACAUUCAGAACCGAAAAAACAGGGGAAGAACGAGUCAAUUUCAUUUUCCUACAAGAACAUAUGCAGGUAACUCUGAAGUGGGUGCCAGGACAUGAGGGCAUUUAUGGCAAUGAAGAGUCACACAAAUUAGCAAAUUUCAGGAACACCCGUCACACCCUUUGGACUAGAAAAACAAAUUUGCCCCAAAACAUGCUAAAAGGACAACAAAUGGAUGAAGAAAAAAACAUACACUGGAUGAAUUCCAGGUGCAAAAUGAUCAAACAAGUAGGAAAACAACAAUCUACCUCCCACUCAGCAGCAAGAAUUAAGGAAGAUAGUAGGCCUUUUUACUGCCUUUUUCCCAUUUUAUUUAAUUACCACCUCAAAAAUCUGAAAACUGGCAUGAAACAGCAGAGACAUAGAUGUCCUAUGUAACUGCAAAGCAUCAAACCAGAAACAGUACAGCUAUUUUGGAAAGGACUAACACCUCGGAAAAUAAGCAACGAGGAACCUCAGAAUGUGCUCACUUUUGCACACAUUCUGAAGGAGUUAAAUGAAGAAGGGUGAAUUACCCUGACCUAGAGAAAAAUUUGCCAAUUUUAAUAUACAAGUUUAACUUUCUUUCUGCUUCCUCUUAACUUAUUUUGAAACUUUGUUUCCCAAAAUCCUUCUCAUCUUCAACACUAAAAUCUAUCCUGAAGAAAUGUUUAGGCCUUCAAUAGUGAAAUUCACUUAUCAAUUUCUCUCAGUCGAUCUGUGUCCUGGAGCCCCGUGUCUUUCUGUUUUUGUGUGUUUAAUAAAAAUUCCCUUCUAUCUGAAAUAAUAACUAUGAACUUAUUUUUGUAUUAUGGACGGGCGGAUUCUGAACAAAAGACUUUUGGAUAAAAGCACCUGGCGAGAAUGAAACAGGCUAACGCCUCAGGCAAACGAUCAAUAAAUAAACAUAUUUAUCUAAUUAUAAACAGAUAUAACAAUAUCUAACAGAGACAAAUAGUUAUUUAGUAUCGUUAUUAUUUUUUCUGGAAA